UACGGAGGGGGCUAGCGUUGUUCGGAAUUACUGGGCGUAAAGCGCACGUAGGCGGCUUUGUAAGUCAGAGGUGAAAGCCCGGAGCUUAACUCCGGAAUUGCCUUUGAGACUGCAUCGCUUGAAUCCAGGAGAGGUGAGUGGAAUUCCGAGUGUAGAGGUGAAAUUCGUAGAUAUUCGGAAGAACACCAGUGGCGAAGGCGACUUACUGGACACAUAUUGACGCUGAGGUGCGAAAGCGUGGGGAGCAAACAGG
rnacentral:rRNA from 1 species